UCCCAAGUGAUCCACGGGCCAGCCCCAGAGGAAGGAGGAGGAGUCUUAAGCUUGUCUUAAAUUUCAAUUGUAGUCAGUCAUACAGUAUCUAUCCCCCUACCCCACUCAAGAAACAUCUAGAAAUUUUAUGAAAACCAUUAUUGAUCAGCAUUUUUUACAUAAUCUUUUGUUGUCUUAGACACCAACUCUACAGCAUUACUUGUCAUACACUGAAGAAUCCCUUCUUCUUGUUAUGCAGCACCUGGCUAAGAAUAUAGUCAUGGUGAAUCGUGGGCUUACAAAGCACAUGACUAUCAAGAACAAGUAUGCCACGUCUAAGCAUGCUAAGAUCAGCACUCUAGCACAGCUGAAUUCCUCACUAGUUCAAGAUUUAGCCAAGGCUGUGGCAAAGGUGUAACUUGUAAACUUGUGUUGAAGUACUAUAUAUUUGCAAAUAAAAUUGGCACCAUGUGCCACCUAUACAUAGUAUGUUACAUUUAUUUACUUUUAAUAAAGUUUGUGGCCCUUUUUACUUUUUAUAGCUCAUUUGAAUGUGGUUACUUCCUACUCUAGGGAAGUAACCUAAAAGUUGACUUAAAAGGUAUGGUGGGGAAUAUUUUAAAAACUGCUUUUCAGAGUACCUGGGACCCAACUAAUGUAUAUAGUUGUUAGCUUAUGUUUAUAUACCUGGUUCUUCCUGUUUUGUGUGGCUGGUUUUUACUUUAUUAAAUGAGGUAUUGAGGUGGUAAAA